AGGACUAACGCUGGCGGCGUGCCUAACACAUGCAAGUCGAGCGGACACCACUUUGUAGCAAUACAGAUGAAGUGUUAGCGGCAGACGGGUGAGUAACACGUAGUCAACCUACCUUACCGUCCGGGAUAACUAGCCGAAAGGUUAGCUAAUACCUGAUACGCC
rnacentral:rRNA from 1 species